CCUGCCCUGCUCCCGGGGCUGGGUGUUUUUCCGCAAUUCCUGUUAUUUCUUCUCCGCCUUCGCCGCUCCCUGGGAAGAUUCCAGAACUUUCUGCUGGGCCCUGGGCGCGCGCCUGCUCGAGGUCGACGACGACGAGGAGAGGGCCCUGGUCCAGGCCCAGCUCCGGGGCCCGUCCUGGCUCGGGAUCCGCGACAGCGACAGCGAAGGGACCUGGACCCGCGGGGACGGCACCGCCCUGGGGGCCCACAGCAGUUUUUGGCAGCGGGGGGAACCCAACGGGGGCAGCCGGGAGAACUGCGCGGCCGUGGGGCUCGACGGGCUCUGGGCCGAUCGUCCCUGCGGGGAGCGGCUGAGCUGGGCCUGCGAGGGACCCUCCUGACCCCAAAUCCCCAGAAUUCACCCCAAAAUCCCCGGAAUUCACCCCAAAAUCC